GACGUAGGGUGCGAGCGUUUGUCCGGAUUUAUUGGGCGUAAAGAGCUCGUAGGCGGCUCGUCGCGUCGACCGUGAAAACCCGCAGCUUAACUGCGGGCUUGCGGUUGAUACGGGCGGGCUAGAGUUCGGUAGGGGAGACUGGAAUUCCUGGUGUAGCGGUGAAAUGCGCAGAUAUCAGGAGGAACACCGAUGGCGAAGGCAGGUCUCUGGGCAUUAACUGACGCUGAGGAGCGAAAGCAUGGGGAGCGAACAGG
rnacentral:rRNA from 1 species